GAUGAAGAACGUAGCGAAAUGCGAUACUUGGUGUGAAUUGCAGAAUCCCGAGAACCAUCGAGUCUUUGAACGCAAGUUGCGCCUCAAGCCAUUAGGUUGAGGGCACAUCUGCCUGGGCGUCACAUAUCGUUGCCUGAUGCCAGUUUCCUCGUGAUGGGUGACUGUGCAGGGCGAAUGAUGGCUUCCCGUGAGCAUUGUUGCCUCAUGGUUGGUUGAAAAUUGAGUCCUUGGUAGGGAGCGCCGUGAUAGAUGGUGGUUGAGUGACGAACGAGACCCAAUCAUGUGAGACCCCUACCGAAUUUGGCCUUCAUGACCCACAUGCGUCUUUGGAACGCUCAUGACGAGACCUCAGGUCAGGCGGGGCUACCCGCUGAGUUUAAGCAUAUCAAUAAGCGGAGGA
rnacentral:misc_RNA from 1 species